rnacentral:rRNA from 1 species
CCUACGGGAGGCAGCAGUGAGGAAUAUUGGUCAAUGGCCGAGAGGCUGAACCAGCCAAGUCGCGUGAGGGAAGACGGUCCCACGGGUUGUAAACCUCUUUUGUCGGGGAGCAAAGACAGUCACGUGUGACUGACUGAGAGUACCCGAAGAAAAAGCAUCGGCUAACUCCGUGCCAGCAGCCGCGGUAAUACGGAGGAUGCGAGCGUUAUCCGGAUUUAUUGGGUUUAAAGGGUGCGCAGGCGGAGGUGCAAGUCAGCGGUAAAAUUGCGGGGCUCAACCCCGGACUGCCGUUGAAACUGCAUCCCUUGAGUGCGCGAGAAGUAUGCGGAAUGCGUGGUGUAGCGGUGAAAUGCAUAGAUAUCACGCAGAACUCCGAUUGCGAAGGCAGCAUACCGGCGCGCAACUGACGCUCAUGCACGAAAGCGUGGGUAUCGAACAGGAUUAGAUACCCUAGUAGUC